CCUACGGGUGGCAGCAGUGAGGAAUAUUGGUCAAUGGGCGAGAGCCUGAACCAGCCAAGUCGCGUGAGGGAAGACGGUCCUAUGGAUUGUAAACCUCUUUUGUCGGGGAGCAAAAAGGCCUCGUGAGGCCACAAGUGAGAGUACCCGCAGAAAAAGCAUCGGCUAACUCCGUGCCAGCAGCCGCGGUAAUAUGGAGGAUGCGAGGGUUAUCCGGAGUUAUUGGGUUUAAAGGGUGCGUAGGCGGACUGGAAAGUCAGCGGUAAAAUCGAGAGGCUCAACCUCUUUCCGCCGUUGAAACUGUCGGUCUUGAGUGGGCGAGAAGUAUGCGGAAUGCGUGGUGUAGCGGUGAAAUGCAUAGAUAUAUGGAAGAACACCAGUGGCGAAGGCGGCUUUCUGGUCUGCAACUGACGCUGAGGCUCGAAAGCAUGGGUAGCGAACAGGAAUAGAUACCCUAGUAGUC
rnacentral:rRNA from 1 species